rnacentral:rRNA from 1 species
GACGAACGCUGGCGGCGUGCUUAACACAUGCAAGUCGAACGGAAAGGCCCUGCUUUUGUGGGGUGCUCGAGUGGCGAACGGGUGAGUAACACGUGAGUAACCUGCCCUUGACUUUGGGAUAACUUCAGGAAACUGGGGCUAAUACCGGAUAGGAGCUCCUGCUGCAUGGUGGGGGUUGGAAAGUUUCGGCGGUUGGGGAUGGACUCGCGGCUUAUCAGCUUGUUGGUGGGGUAGUGGCUUACCAAGGCUUUGACGGGUAGCCGGCCUGAGAGGGUGACCGGCCACAUUGGGACUGAGAUACGGACCAGACUCCUACGGGGGGCAGCAGUGGGGAAUAUUGCACAAUGGGCGGAAGUCUGAGGCAGCAACGUCGCGUGCGGGAUGACGGCCUUCUGGUUGUAAACCGCUUUCGCCUGUGACGAAGCGUGAGUGACGGUAAUGGGUAAAGAAGCACCGGCUAACUACGUG